GAUUGACCGCCAACACUGGGACUGAGAACUGCCCAGACUUCUACGGAAGGCUGCAGUCGAGAAUCAUUCGCAAUGGGCGAAAGCCUGACGAUGCGACGCCGUGUGAGCGAUGAAGGCCUUAGGGUUGUAAAGCUCUUUCGCCUGGGAACAAGAGAGUUUGGCUAAUAUCCAGACAAUUUGAGGGUACCAGGAGAAGAAGCACCGGCUAACUUCGUGCCAGCAGCUGCGGUAAUACGAAGGGUGCAAGCAUUAAUCGGAUUUAUUGGGCGUAAAGGGCGCGUAGGCGGGGAUGUAAGUCAGAUGUGAAAUCCCGGGGCUCAACCCCGGAACUGCAUUUGAGACUGCAUUUCUUGAGGAUAGAAGGAGAAAACGGAAUUCCACAAUUAGCGGUGAAAUGCGUAGAUAUGUGGAAGAACACCGGUGGCGAAGGCGGUUUUCUAUUUUAUUCCUGACGCUAAGGCGCGAAGGCUAGGGGAGCAAACAGGAUUAGAUACCCUGGUAGUCCUAGCCGUAAACUAUGUAUACUUAAUGUAUCUGGAAUCAACCCCGGAUGUGUCGCAGCUAACGCGAUAAGUAUACCGCCUGGGGAGUACAGCCGCAAGGCCGAAACUCAAAAGAAUUGACGGGGACCCGCACAAGCAGUGGAGUAUGUGGUUUAAUUCGAUGCAACGCGAAGAACCUUACCCAGAUUUGACAUACAGAGGACAGUACUAGAAACAGUAUCUCCCUUCGGGGCCUCUGAACAGGUGCUGCAUGGCUGUCGUCAGCUCGUGCCGUGAGGUGUUGGGUUAAGUCCCGCAACGAGCGCAACCCUUAUCACUAGUUGCUACCAUUUAGUUGAGCACUUUAGUGAGACUGCCCGGGUUAACCGGGAGGAAGGUGAGGAUGACGUCAAGUCCGCAUGGCCUUUAUAUCUGGGGCUACACACGUACUACAAUGGUCGAUACAGAAGGCAGCGAAACCGCGAGGUGAAGCAAAUCCCAAAAGUCGAUCUCAGUUCAGAUUGUAGUCUGCAACUCGACUACAUGAAGAUGGAAUUGCUAGUAAUGGCAGGUCAGCACACUGCCGUGAAUACGUUCCCGGGUCUUGUACACACCGCCCGUCACAUCAUGGAAGUUGGUUUUACCCGAAAUCGCUGACUCAACCGCAAGGGGAGAGGCGCCUAAGGUAAGGCCGAUGACUGGGAUGAAGUCGUAACAAGGUA
rnacentral:rRNA from 1 species